AACAGAGAGUGUUUCUCUCACCAAUAACGCAGUUUCCAAAUUUCAAAAAGGCCUCUUAAGAUGCUCCUGCAAUGCUCUAUCUCCCCUUGUACAGUUGAUGUUCCAGUAUCUCUAAUGAAACGCAUAUUGUGGUACCAUGUUUUCUGAUACAAGGAAACCUCUAUCUGUUAUUGCCGGAACUCCUUCUAUAGACACAUACUCAGCAGUUCUGGAUACAUCCCCUCGAACGAUCCCGUGGUCUGACUCUCCACCCACUCCCUGCCACCUGGCACAGUAAAGGAAUUUGACUCAGAGAUGCUGAAUCAAUGGGAACUGUGGAUGCUCAGACUGAAACUCGGACCACAUAUACUUUGGUUGACAUUGAACACUACUAAAUGUGUUGCAUCAGAAUAAGAACAACACUUAAAGAAUUUUCCUUCUCUGAUAUGAGGGAUCUAUUCUCAUGGGCCCAAAUCUGCUGACUUUCCUCAGCUUAAUAAGUAAUAUUUUUACUAUGUUAUUAUGGGCUAAAUUCUGCUGUCCUUGUGUAAAUCCAGCCUUUCUCCACUGACAUUAACAAAUCUAAUCUGGAUUUAACCCAGUGCAUAUCAAAGUGAACAUAGCUUGACACUUGCAGAACCAUUACAUAGAAUCACAUCAUUAUGAAUUGGAGAUACAAAAUACAUAGUAACAUUAAGCAAUGGGGAACGUCUAUCAUAAUGGGCCACCAAGACCUACUCUUAUCGGCCCAAGAAAAAUAUGUCACUCUUUGCUUCAGCAUCUAUAAAUCUAGGUAGUGGACAUAUGCCUCCAUUUGUGCCUUUUCCAGAAAUAUGUCCAGCUCUUCUCCUAAAGCAAGGCUCGGGAUUUACUUCUAAUGCUGACUUUGGUAGUUUGUUAAUAUUUCCUUAUGCAGAAAUUCUGCCUAAAUUCUAACAUGCUUUCAAAUGAGUUACCAUCUGUGACCUUAAGCGCAUCCCAGUGCCAGAGGGCAAGGGGCUCACUGCUAUCAGGUAGUGAAAUUCAGCUGGUCUGACCAGUUCAACCUACCCCAAUUCACUUAUAUCAUAAUCUUUAUCUAAUAUGUGUCGUGUAAGGUAUUAUUGGAAAACCACCAAACACACUCAUCAUUCUUGCAUGGUGUAUGUACAGUAAACACCCACAGAAAUGUGAAAAAAAUAUGGGACUAAAAUAUAUUUGAACCAGACAAGUCUGGGGAGUUUUUAAACAGGUUUUUUCCAGAAAAGCUGGAGCUUCCGUCCAGGUGCAAUCACAGACAAGUUGCAAUCACAGUCAAGUGGCCAUUUAUUGGCAUAUUGGAGACUGCAGAAUUUGCAUUAUAGAAAGUACCAGCAGGGAAGAAACCAACCUGGAACCCUCUCCAUCAGAGUCCAUGGUACCUUUCCUCUCAGCAGGGGCACUGGACUUUAAAGAUACAUGUCAAAAGUUCACUGGACUACAAAAGAGAGGGGCAAAGAACUCAAGUGAUCUUUCACCUAAAAAGACAAAAGAACCAAGCAGUUUGGACUUUGUGGGAGAUCCUGACAAAGGGGGUGGUCAGCUGGAAGAAGGUGUGGUAAGACGCUUACAUUGAACCAAGACUGUAGUUUUGUUAAAUCUUAGUCACUGGGAAGGGUUUUUCACUUAUAUUUGUUUGUAACCAUU